UUCGUCCUACGGGGGGCAGCAGUCGGGAAUAUUGCGCAAUGGAGGAAACUCUGACGCAGUGACGCCGCGUAUAGGAAGAAGGAUUUCGGAUUGUAAACUAUUGUCGUGAGGGAAGAAAUUGACAGUACCUCAGGAGGAAGCUCCGGCUAACUAUGUGCCAGCAGCCGCGGUAAUACAUAGGGAGCAAGCGUUAUCCGGAUUUAUUGGGUGUAAAGGGUGCGUAGACGGGAAAUUAAGUUAGUUGUGAAAUCCCUCGGCUUGACUGAGGAACUGCAACUAAAACUGGUUUUCUUGAGUAAUGUGGG
rnacentral:rRNA from 1 species